AACAGAAACAAAUAGAGAUACAAGAAGAUGGAGUCUUACUGGAUUACAACAGUUGUUGUUGGGUUUAUCACCAUGGCUGCUUUUUGGAUGCCGUUUGUGACUGCUGCUGAGGUUCAACAUGCCCAGUGUGGUUCCACAGUGACUCUUGGCUGUAACAUAUCCUACCUUCAUGAUACAACGUGGCUUAGGAACAACCCUGAUCUCACCCCCACUGUGAUCCUCAGCGCCAGCCUCAGAGAGGGACAACCAGUACAAGGGUUUCUGCUCAGCCCUCGUUUCUCAGUGGGGCUGAUGAACCGAUCUCUGGCACUGAGCAUCACUAGUGUUGAGGAGAGAGAUGUGGGGCUGUACUACUGUAUUGCCAAUGUGAACACACAUUUAACAGUUGGGAGUGGAACCAUGCUUGAAGUUUCACCUCCAGGUUCGUCUUCGUUUGUCUUCCACCACUGGUACUGUUUGGUUGUCGGUUUUGGGCUGCUGAUGAUGGUGCUGGCUGUUUGCAUCACCCACUGGAAAGCAAAGUCAAACAAGGAAACCACCAAAGAGACCCCCAAUGCUAACUUAAUUAAAAAAGACAACAACAUCAGCAACUAAUGCAGUAGACCAGGGGGGCCAACCAGUCAGAGGUUAAGAGCCAAAAAUGUUACUAUGUUACUACAAAGAGCCACAUCAUACACAAAGUCACAGAUGCGCAACCCCCCCCCCCUUCUCUCUUUUGUUCUCAGCCAUUCUCUGUGCUCCCUCGCUUUCUUCCUCCCCUCUCUCUCUCACACUGACAAAAUUAAAAUCUAAAACUAUACACGCGCACACACACACACACACACACACACACACACACACACACACACAUUUAUUGUAAAUGUCACAUACCAUAAUAUUGACAGCAAUUGAAUUAAACCUCUCCUACCAGUAUUCAGUAUUAUCAACAAUGAACAUUGUGUGUACUCUCACACACAAACUCUCAGUAAUUUAUUUUUGAAAAAGUGUUUUAUCUUCCUAUGCAUGUUGCUUCUUUAAAUUAGUGUGACUUCUGACAUUCCUUGCCUCGAACAAUCCUCCUCAAAUCUGGCUUCUAUUCCGUUGUGGUCAUUCGAAGCAAUUCUUUCACCUAUCAGAACAGAUGGAUACUUUGAUUUCACGUGUUUCAGGGUAGAAAACACCGACUCACAGACACAUGUUGACCCAAACAUUGAUAGUAGCUUGAGUGCAGCCUGUUCAACAUUCAGAUAUUUUUUCCAUUGGCACAUAUUCCAGAACUCAAGGGUCCCUUCACUCAGAACAGGUUUCAGUCGGUCUUCCUCAGAAAGUUCAAUCAUCUCCAACUGGGCCACCGCCUCGUCUGUGACCUGUCAACCCUCCCGUUUUUCCCGGGAUUAUCCCGUAUUUUUACUUCUAACCCGAUUUUCUCCCGUUUAAAUAUUUUCCCGUACUUAUCCCGUAUUUUUAACCUUUCAGAAAGUGGCCUCCGGUAGAGCAGGUGGCAGUAUUAUGUUUAACUUUAGCUGAAAAACGUUAUCCACCAGUAAACACACAGAAGAAGAAAACAGGAACAAUAACACAGAAGAAGACGAAAGCAUAUGGAUGAGUCACAGUGAACGGGAGAUAGAUGGAGACGCAGUUGUACCUGCCAAACAAGUUAAAACUUUAUGCAAGUACCAAUGGGAGGAGACCUUCCCUUUUUUAAUAAAAAGCAGAGUCGGGCAAACUCGUGCUUUUUGUAAAUUGUGCCAUUCAGAUGUUAGCAUCGCACACGGCAGAAUAAGCGAUUGUUCGCCAGCAAGAAAAAUCAUCCAAGCACAAGCACAAAAACAUCCACUGUCAAUGACUUCAUGUGUGACAAGAACUGUGUCGGAGGCAGACCAAGUGACCAAAGCUGAGGGAAAGAUGUCGAUGCUUUGCGCCAAAAAUAAUGUAGCCUUCAGCUUCUGCGAUUGAUUUCAGUCGCAGUGUAGCGGACAUGUUUCCUGACUCUGCCAUUGUAAGGAAGUCCUCGUCAGGGGAAACAAAAGCCACACAACUCAUCCAUCAUCAAAUAUAUUGAUGAUAAUAACUCAUCAAAUAAAAUACAUAAAUCUUAUAAACAUGUCUGUACAAGUAAUGCAUACUUUAAAUAAACAUGUAUUUCCUGAAUGUAUAUAUGUUAUUUAUGUGUUAUGUGUUCUUAUGUGUUUACGUUU
ensembl:lncRNA